GCUCGAGUGUCUGGUUGAGUGCG
rnacentral:siRNA from 1 species